GGUAAACGCUGGCGGCGUGCCUAAAACAUGCAAGUCGAACGGGCAGUUCUCUUCGGAGGGCUGUCAGUGGCAGACGGCUGAGUAACGCGUGGGUGACGUGUCCAUAGGUGGGGAAUAACUGCCCGAAAGGGUGGCUAAUACCGCAUACGCCUGGUGAUUCGGUUUCACCAGGGAAAGCAGAUGAUGUGCCGAUGGAGCGGCCCGCGACCGAUUAGCUAGCUGGUGGGGAACGGCCUACCAGGGCGACGAUCGGUAGCCGU
rnacentral:rRNA from 1 species